rnacentral:rRNA from 1 species
UACGUAGGGACCGAGCGUUGUCCGGAAUCAUUGGGCGUAAAGAGCGUGUAGGCGGCUUGAUAAGCGUGCGGUGAAAGCCCGGGGCUCAACCCCGGGUCGGCCGUGCGAACUGUCGAGCUGGAGCACUGUAGAGGCAGGUGGAAUUCCGGGUGUAGCGGUGGAAUGCGUAGAGAUCCGGAAGAACACCGGUGGCGAAGGCGGCCUGCUGGGCAGUGGCUGACGCUGAGGCGCGACAGCGUGGGGAGCAAGCAGG